GAAGGAAGAACUAAAAUAGAGAAAUAGGGACGGCUACAUAAGGACUGCUCGAUUGGUUCCAAUUUUGGAAUUUCAACUUGUUAAGGCAAUAUAUGGUUCAUUCAAGUGUGAUAAAUGGCCUGAGUCUGUCUCUUGUCAAAAAGUCUGGGGCAGAUUUUGUGUUUUAACCACUGUUUCAUUGAACUUGAGUCAAUUUCAUUGAAAGUUGGUUGAAUCUGGGUUGUUGUUCAACUAAAACUAAUUUCUGGGCUGCUGUAUAUCAUUUCCUAAGUUUGAAAUUGGGUUGUUGAUCACCUCUCGCUGCUGAAUUCUGCUUUACUGCUUCUGCUGAUCCCUCACUAUUCCUUUUCCUGUUUCAAUUUCCAGGUACAUACUCUUGAUUUCUAAAGCAUGUAAGCCAUGGUUCAAAGAGUGCAUUUUUGAAGAAAAGUGAAGAGGGUGUUAUCAGAUGUUAUGGCUUUUGGUUUCUUUUUCUCUUUCAGUGUGUCUUGGGUUUAUGUUAAUACUGUAGUAGGACUCUUAUGUAGUGUGUGUUGAUUUUUCUUUUGUUUAACUCCUGGAUUCUGCUGCUAUUAGAACUGGCCAUCAACUUUAAUAUCUGUGAACAUUGUUUUUUUAAAUUGCAGAUCUGUUAGAAUGUUAUGCUAAUGUUAUCGUAGUUAAGAUUGAGCAUGUGUUAAAAGUUGAAGUCAUCGGAGUUCUCCGUAUUUAAAUGUGCUCUGUUUUGCUUUGUUUGUCUAUGGCUGCUCGUUAGUAAGUUAGAUUUUGGAAACUAAAUGGGUAUAUUUCUCUUUUCAUAUAUUGUCGCAAGUCUGCAAUAACUGAUGAAUCUUAAUUUAAUUAUGGGAUUUUAGUUGGCAAGAUUUUAAAUUGGAUUAAGGCAUAGUUUCUUCUUUGCUACUAUUGUUUGCCUGUUCCAUAGCCACUUGUCUUUUGUACAUUGGAGAAGUCAAAGAACGAUCUUUCUUCUUGCUAACUACAAAUCUGUUUUCUCCUUUACGCAUUGGCAUAAUCUCUGGGAAGUCAUCAUCAGAGAUGGCACUAGGUAAGUCUUUGACAUCAUGUAGCUCCGCAAUUUUCUUGAACCAGCUCGCUGACUUCUCAGCUUGUUCUCUCUCUUUAUCCUUGCUGAAUGAGCGAUUUGACUGCAACUUCU
rnacentral:lncRNA from 1 species